GACGAACCGUGCAAACGUUAUUCGGAAUCACUGGGCUUAAAGGGUGCGUAGGCGGGCUCGUUAGUCAGGGGUGAAAUCCCACGGCCCAACCGUGGAAGUGCCUCUGAUACUGCGAGCCUCGAGGGGGAUAGGGGCGUGCGGAACUCAGGGUGGAGCGGUGAAAUGCGUAGAUAUCCUGAGGAACACCGGUGGCGAAAGCGGCGCGCUGGAUCCCUACUGACGCUGAGGCACGAAGGCCAGGGGAGCAAACGGGG
rnacentral:rRNA from 1 species